GGAGCNUGUGGUUUAAUUCGAUGCAACGCGAAGAACCUUACCAAGGCUUGACAUGAACUAGUAAGGCGCAGAGAUGCGUCCCCCACUUUGUGGCUGGUUUACAGGUGGUGCAUGGUUGUCGUCAGCUCGUGUCGUGAGAUGUUGGGUUAAGUCCCGCAACGAGCGCAACCCUCGUUCUAUGUUGCCAGCACGUGAUGGUGGGGACUCAUAGGAGACUGCCGGGGUCAACUCGGAGGAAGGUGGGGACGACGUCAAAUCAUCAUGCCCCUUAUGUCUUGGGCUUCACGCAUGCUACAAUGGCCGGUACAAAGGGUUGCGAUACUGUGAGGUGGAGCUAAUCCCAAAAAGCCGGUCUCAGUUCGGAUUGGGGUCUGCAACUCGACCCCANGAAGUCGGAGUCGC
rnacentral:rRNA from 1 species